rnacentral:rRNA from 1 species
GAUUUCUGGCACGCAGCAUCUGGCCGGCCGCGGUUUCGCGUGUUAGUGCCGUGAUGCUCGCGCCAUCCUUCCAAUUGCUGUGCGGGUGUGGUUCUUCAUUGAGCUCGCUCUGCAUGGUGUUGGAUCUUUUACUUUGAAAAAAUUAGAGUGUUUCAAGCAGGCUUUAUGCUAUGAAUACAUUAGCAUGGAAUAAUAAUUUAGGACUUCGGUUCUAUUUUGUUGGUUUCUAGGACUGAAGUAAUGAUUGAUAGGGAUAGUUGGGGGUGCUAGUAUUCAGCGGCCAGAGGUGAAAUUCUCGGAUUCGCUGAAGACUAACUUAUGCGAAAGCAUU